rnacentral:rRNA from 1 species
GGCGAACGCUGGCGGCGUGCCUAAUACAUGCAAGUCGAACGCUUCUUUCCUCCCGAGUGCUUGCACUCAAUUGGAAAGAGGAGUGGCGGACGGGUGAGUAACACGUGGGUAACCUACCCAUCAGAGGGGGAUAACACUUGGAAACAGGUGCUAAUACCGCAUAACAGUUUAUGCCGCAUGGCAUAAGAGUGAAAGGCGCUUUCGGGUGUCGCUGAUGGAUGGACCCGCGGUGCAUUAGCUAGUUGGUGAGGUAACGGCUCACCAAGGCCACGAUGCAUAGCCGACCUGCGAGGGUGAUCGGCCACACUGGGACUGAGACACGGCCCAGACUCCUACGGGAGGCAGCAGUAGGGAAUCUUCGGCAAUGGACGAAAGUCUGACCGAGCAACGCCGCGUGAGUGAAGAAGGUUUUCGGAUCGUAAAACUCUGUUGUUAGAGAAGAACAAGGACGUUAGUAACUGAACGUCCCCUGACGGUAUCUAACCAGAAAGCCACGGCUAACUACGUG